rnacentral:lncRNA from 1 species
GAGGCGGAGGGCUGAGCUCCGUCGCAGCCUCGGGGGACGUUCGCCGCCACGUGGCAGCCCUCAGCCGUGGCGGCGGCGGCCCCGAAGUGCGUGGGUUGGCCUCACCUUCCAGAGGGGCCUCGAAACGAGUCACAAAACCCAGCGUUGCUGUUGCUAAAUUCCCGUCGGACGGAACAUCCCCCGCACGUCCCCCGACUGCAGCGGGGUUCCCAUCGGGGCCAGCAGCACCUAUGGGUGCAGAGCCGGGACGCGGAACGCGGGAUCUCCCAUUCUUCCCAUUCAUUCAUAGAGAUUCCGAUAAGAUAAGAAGCGAUCGGAGCUCCGUCGAGAGCGUUCUCUUUGCACCGACAUUCACAGCAAUAGACAUAAUUUAGGUUUGAUCUGUUCUGUACACAGCGCG